rnacentral:tRNA from 1 species
GCCUGGGUGGCUCAGUUGGUUAAGCAUCUGACUUCGGCUCAGGUCAUGAUCUCGCAGUUUGUGAGUUCAAGCCCCACAUCGGGCU